rnacentral:rRNA from 1 species
AUUGAACGCUGGCGGCAUGCCUUACACAUGCAAGUCGAACGGCAGCACGGGAGCAAUCCUGGUGGCGAGUGGCGAACGGGUGAGUAAUAUAUCGGAACGUGCCCAGUAGUGGGGGAUAACUGCUCGAAAGAGCAGCUAAUACCGCAUACGACCUGAGGGUGAAAGGGGGGGAUCGCAAGACCUCUCGCUAUUGGAGCGGCCGCUAUCAGAUUAGCUAGUCGGUGGGGUAAAGGCCUACCAAGGCAACGAUCUGUAGUUGGUCUGAGAGGACGGACAGACACACUGGGACUGAGACACGGCCCAGACUCCGACGGGGGGCAGCAGUGGGGAAUUUUGGACAAUGGGCGCAAGCCUGAUCCAGCAAUGCCGCGUGCAGGAAGAAGGCCUUCGGGUUGUAAACUGCUUUUGUCAGGGAAGAAAUCCUCUAGGUUAAUACCCUUGGGGGGAUGACGGUACCUGAAGAAUAAGCACCGGCUAACUACGUGCCAGCCGCCGCCGUAACAC